rnacentral:tRNA from 1 species
GCUCCUGUCGUCUAGCCCGGUCAAGGAUGAAAGCCUUUCAAGCUUUCGACGCGAGUUCAAAUCUCGCCGGGAGCA